UACGGAGGGUGCAAGCGUUUAUCCGGAUUUACUGGGUUUAAAGGGUGCGUAGGUGGGUCUGUAAGUCAGUGGUGAAAUCUCCGAGCUUAACUCGGAAACUGCCAUUGAUACUAUAGGUCUUGAAUCAUCUGGAGGUAAGCGGAAUAUGUCAUGUAGCGGUAAAAUGCUUAGAUAUGACAUAGAACACCAAUUGCGAAGGCAGCUUACUACGGAUGUAUUGACACUGAGGCACGAAAGCGUGGGGGAUCAAACAGG
rnacentral:rRNA from 1 species